GACGUGGGUGCUAGCCUCUAAGAUUUAGCCAUGCAUGCUUUGUGAACCCAGACGGGGGAACGGCGAACGGCUCAGUAAUGUUGCGGUGAUCUGCUCUGGUUGAGAAAGAUAACCACGGUAAACUGUGGCUAAGAGACCAGAAUGAGCUGCAACCCUAUCAGUUUGUUGGAAGUGUAAAAGACUCCCAAGACGUCGACGGGUAACGGGAAAUCAGUGUUUGAUUCCGGAGAGGGAGCCUGAGAGAUGGCUCCCACGUCCAAGGAUGGCAGCAGGCGCGAAAAUUGUCCACUCUUUGGAGAGGAGACAGUUAUGAGGCGUGAUUAAAAGAGCGAAGUGUAAACACCUUCGUGUAACGCAAUUGGAGGGCAAGUUUUGGUGCCAGCAGCCGCGGUAAUUCCAACUCCAAGAGUGCCCAUGGUGGAUGCUGCAGUUAAAAAGUCCGUAGUCGUAGAUGCAAUUAAAGGGUGCGGAUCAAGCGCACUGAGUUUGUUGAGUUGUAGCGGAGCGGAUAGGGAGCAUGGUAUAGGUUGGCGAAGAAUGAAAUCUCAAGACCCAACCUGGACCAACUGAGGCGAAAGCGGUGCUCUUAUACGCAUCCGAGGAUCAAGGACGAAGGCUGGAGGAUCGAAAGUGAUUAGAUACCGCUGUAGUUCCAGCAGUAAACUAUGCCGACAUUCUCUGUCCAGCGGACGGGGAAGGGAGAAAUCUUAGUUUUCGGGCUCUGGGGAUAGUACGCUUGCAAGAGUGAAACUUAAAGCGAAAUUGACGGAAGGACACUACCAGGAGUGGAUUGUACUGCUUAAUUUGACUCAACGCGGGAAAACUUACCAGGGUCAAGUUCUCCGUAGAUCGAGUACGUGAGGGGAACGAGAGUGGUGCAUGGCCGUUGGAAAUUGAUGGGAUGACUUUUAGCUUAAAUGCUGAAACCAGUGAGAUCUUCUAGACAGGUGCCAUCCGGCACAGGAGGGCGAAGGCGAUAACAGGUCCGUGAUGCCCUUAGAUAUCCUGGGCUGCAAGUGCAAUACAAUAUCCAUGUCGAUCAAGAAAGGUGAUUAUGGAUGAGCAGGAUUAGCUCUUGUAAAUGAGCUAUGAAUGAGGAAUUCCUAGUAACAGUGUCUCACUAAGGCAUUGUGAAUGCGUCCCUGUUCUUUGUACACACCGCCCGUCACUAUUUCAGAUGGCCAUGAAGAUGAAGAGCUUCGGUUCUGAAUAUUCAUGUCUAGAUAAAGUACAAGUCGUAACAAGGUUGC
rnacentral:rRNA from 1 species